AUAGGAUAUAGAAGAUAGAUUUAUGCCUGAUAUUGCAUUGCACCAGCUUUUCCUGGUUGGACAAUCCAAGAUGUGACUGCUCAGCUACAGAUCAGUAAACAUAUGUUGACAGAAAGAUGAAACAACAACAAAAGGAAACAUGGAUCUCUGACAGUGGUAGCUGCACCUUGUAACAGGGCAUUUAAUUUAAUUAUCCGACAUAUAACACGAAAGAUGGCACAAAUGCCCCAUCAUGGUUUUUUAGUCCCGUGAUUUCUGUGCUACCCAGUUGGAGAAAAUCUGAUACAAUAUUGCAAGGGUUCAUCUUUAGUUCAAACUGUGCAUGCAUCAAUGAUAAUAGUAAAAACUGAAGGUAUGGUUAACCUUUUUGUCUGAAAAAUUGUGAGCCACUGCUAACAUGGAUAUAUCUUACAUAUAUAUCCCAAUUUCCCUUCUUCUUUCCCACUUCAGGCCCCUCACGCAGUAUAUUCUACAAAAGUCAUUGUGAUGCUAUUAUUAUUAUUAUUUUCAAUCACUCAAUCAUGUUGGUGGACAAAACAUAAAAGUAUAGCAUGUCGUUUUCAUUCCAAUAUUUUUAUGUACACUUUAAUAAUCCAUAUGCUUUGCAUCUGUAUGCCAGUAAGUU